rnacentral:rRNA from 1 species
CUAUCACUCCUACGGGUGGCAGCUAGUGGGGAAUAUUGCACAAUGGGGGAAACCCUGAUGGCAGCCAUGCCGCGUGUGUGAAGAAGGCCUUCGGGUUGUAAAGCACUUUCAGUAGGGAGGAAGGUAGUCGUAGUUAACACCUGCAUUAUUUGACGUUACCUACAGAAGAAGCACCGGCUAACUCCCGUGCCAGCAGCCGCGGUAAUACGGAGGGUGCGAGCGUUAAUCGGAAUUACUGGGCGUAAAGCGCAUGCAGGCGGCCUGUUAAGUCAGAUGUGAAAGCCCGGGGCUUAACCUCGGAAUUGCAUUUGAAACUGGCAGGCUAGAGUCUUGUAGAGGGGGUAGAAUUUCAGGUGUAGCGGUGAAAAUGCGUAGUAGAAUCUGAAGGAAUACCAGUGGCGAAGGCGGCCCCCUGGACAAAGACUGACGCUCAGAUGCGAAAGCGUAGGGGAGCCAAACAGGAUUAGAUACCCCUGGUAG